GCUCCCCUCCGUUAGCAAUCUCUCCCAAUUUACUGAUCCCAGCAAGAGGAAUAAGGCGUAAAACAUUUUUCCUUGCAGGAAGAAGAAAUCCCUGAAUUAGAAAUAGAUGUGGAUGAACUGUUGGACAUGGAGAGCGACGAAUCGCGGAGCGCCAGGGUGAAGGAACUUCUGGUCGAUUGCUACAAGCCCACAGAGGUUUUCGUGGCCGACUUGCUAGACAAGAUCCGAGGGAUGCAGAAACUAAGCACCCCGCAGAAGAAGUGACCUCCGGAGUUGUGGGCGGCCGUGCUGCGUGGCCCCAGCCAUUCGGGGCCCGUGUGUCGCUGAAAUGUGGGCAGUGCUGGGUUUCAGGGAAGGGGGGGGGCGCUUUCACAGGGCUGAGGAGGGGGGAAGGAAUCGGUUGGUUUCCCCUCCCCGCCCGAACCAUCACAAAAAGAGGAAGAUUUGGGGGGGGGGGGAUGCUCUGAUAAUCAGAAUAAUUUGAUCGCCUUUUAGCAAUAUCUCUCUGCAGCUGCCUCCCCCCGUCCCUGUUCCCCGCCCCCC